rfam:Oikopleura dioica, whole genome shotgun assembly, reference scaffold set, scaffold scaffold_242
GUUCAAAUCCAGUCACGCGCACCAGUUUUCGCCCGUGCGAACGGGCGGGUUCUUUGAAAUCCAUGUAUGGAAUCAGCAGGGCAGUGACAGAAUCGUCAAGUGCCGCGGAACANNNNNNNNNNNNNNNNNNNNNNNNNNNNNNNNNNNNNNNNNNNNNNNNNNNNNNNNNNNNNNNNNNNNNNNNNNNNNNNNNNNNNNNNNNNNNNNCGGAUGAAUUCAUAGUCCGUCGGAGCGACACGGGGCGAAGUGAAACAUCUCAGUAACCCCAGGAAAAGAAAACAACGUGAUUCCGCAAGUAGUGGCGAGCGAAAGCGGAACAGCCCAAACCUCGGCAACUUGUUGCCGGGGGGUUGAGGGACCCUGACAUGGCAUGUGGAGGAUUAGCGUAACGGCCUGGAAGGGCCGGCCAGAGACCGUGACAGCCGGGUGCGCGAAAAUCCAAAGCAGCCUAGGGGUAUCCCAAGUAACGCGGUGCACGUGAAACUCCGCGCGAAUCCGUCCCGACCACGGGAUAAGGCUAAAUACCAUCUAGCGACCGAUAGUGAACCAGUACCGCGAGGGAAAGGUGAAAAGAACCCCUGAUAGGGGAGUGAAAUAGAACCUGCAACCCUGUGCCUACAAUGUGUGGGAGCCCGCAAGGGUGACCGCCUGCCUUUUGCAUAAUGAGUCUGCGAGUUAUUGUCGGCGGCUGCCGUAGCCCCUCAGGGGCGGUGGCCCAGCGAAAGCGAGUGCGAAUAGCGCGACUAGGUCGCCGGCAAUAGACCCGAAGCGGAGGUGAUCUACUCAUGGUCAGGUUGAAGCUGGGGUAACACCCAGUGGAGGACCGAACUCGUGGAUGUUGAAAAAUCCUGAGAUGAACUGUGAGUAGGAGCGAAAGACUAAUCAAACCCCGUGAUAGCUGGUUCUCUCCGAAAUAGCUUGAGGGCUAGCGUCGGGUAAGUACUCCAGGGAGGUAGAGCACUGGAUGGCUUAGGGUCCCCACCAGGAUGCCAAAACCAAUCAAACUCCGAAUUCCCUGGAUCCCAAUAACCCGGCAGUCAGACUGUGGGGGAUAAGCUCCAUGGUCGAGAGGAUAACAGUCCAGACCGCCAGCCAAGGCGCCUAAAUACCGUUAAGUGGAAAGGAUGUGUCGUCGCUGAGACAGUGAGGAUGUUGGCUUAGAGGCAGCCAUCAUUUAAACAGUGCGUAACAGCUGACUCAUCGAGCGAUGACGCGCCGAAAAUGAUUGGCGAUAAGCGGUAUGCCGAAGCUGCGGAUUCCGUCCGGUCACGACCGGGCGGAGUGGUAGGAGAGCGUGGCCGUUCCGGCGAAGCCGUUUCGUAAGAAAUGGUGGAGGGGCGGCCAGUGAGAAUGCAGACACGAGUAGCGAUAAACCGGAUGAGAAUUCCGGUCGCCGUAAACCCAAGGUUUCCUGGGGCAGGUUCGUCCUCCCAGGGUCAGUCGGGAGCUAAGGUGAGGCCGUAGGGCGUAACCGAUGCACAGCAGGUCAACAUUCCUGCACCGGCAGGGGAUUAGGCGACGGGUAACGCAGAGAGAAAAGUGCCUACGUCAUUGAAAGACAGAGCGGAGGCUUCGGCCGAAGCGCAGCACCGGACAAUCUGCCGAGAAAAGCCCGUCGUCGUGCCCCGGCCGCCCGUACCGUAAACCGACACAGGUGGGUGGGUGUAAGUGCACCAAGGCGCGCGAGAGAAACCUCUCUAAGGAACUCGGCACAUUAGCCCCGUAACUUCGGGAGAAGGGGUGCCCCCCUCGGGGGGUCUCAGUAAAUUGCGUUUAGCGACUGUUUAACAAAAACACAGCACUCUGCCAAGUCGUCAAGACGACGUAUAGGGUGUGACACGUGACCAAUGCGGAAAGAUCAAGGUGAGCUGUCAGCCGCAAGGCGAAGCGGCGAACCCAAGUCCCCGUGAAUGUCGGCCGUAACUAUAACGGUCCUAAGGUAGCGAAAUUCCUUGUCGGGUAAGUUCCGACCUGCACGAAUCGUGUAACGACUGAACGACUGUCUCGGAGAGGAUCUCGGCGAAACUGUAAUUGCGGUGAAGAUGCCGCAUGCCCGCAGUAGGACGGAAAGACCCUAUGCACCUUCACUGUAAGCUGGCAUUGGGUUUUGAUUAAUGAUGCGUAGCGUAGGUGGGAGACUUUGAACCGCAGGCUUCGGUUUGCGGGGAGUCGCAAUGUGAAACACCACUCUUCGUUAAUUAGAAUUCUAACCCCGACCUGUCAUCCAGGCGGGGGACAGUGCUUGCCGGUCAGUUUGGCUGGGGCGGCUUCCUCCCAAAUGGUAACGGAGGAGCGCGAAGCUCGGCUCAGCACGGUUGGCAACCGUGCGACGAGGGUAUGGCUAGAAGCCGGGUUAACUGUGAGACCAACAAGUCAAGCAGAUGCGAAAGCAGGCCCAAAUGAUCCGAUGGUUUAAUGUGGAAUUGCCAUCGCUCAACGGACAAAAGGUACGCUAGGGAUAACAGGCUGAUCGGGCCCAAGAGUUCAUAUCGACGGCCCGGUUUGGCACCUCGAUGUCGGCUCAUCGCAUCCUGGGGCUGGAGAAGGUCCCAAGGGUCCGGCUGUUCGCCGGUUAAAGCGGUACGCGAGCUGGGUUCAGAACGUCGUGAGACAGUUCGGUCCUUAUCCACUGUGGGCGGAGGAAACUUGAGGGGUUCAUUCCUUAGUACGAGAGGACCGGGAAUGACGCACUUCUGGUGUGGCAGUUGUUCCGUCAGGGGCAUCGCUGCGUAGCCAUGUGCGGAAGGGAUAAGCGCUGAAAGCAUCUAAGUGCCAAGCCCAUCCCAAGAUAAUGUUUCCCUGGUCGCAAGGCCCUAAAGACUCCGGGUAGACCACCCGGUUGAUAGGUCAGGCGUGCAAGCGCUGCAAGGCGCUCAGCGGACUGAUACUAAUAUGUCGUGAGGCUUGAUCUU